CCAGCCAGAAUUGAUUUAGUGUUUCCUGGACCACAAAGAAAGAAAAGAUCUAUAUUGUCAUAAGCCUGGCCUGAAGCACUCACAUCUUAGAACUAGAGCCUUGAUGACAAAAUAAGUACCAACCAGCAAGGCACAGCAGCAGUGAGAGUCAGGAAAGCCCCAUUCUCACACUGGGAUCUCACCAGCAACAGCUCAGAGGGGAGGGACUCAAUUCGUUCAGCCUUUCUACAGCCAUCAUAAUGCAAAGUGUAUAAACCUUCCCACGCAGUGACACAAUCCAUUGGAAAGAUUAAGGUGUAUUCUCAGGAUUUUGAAUUACAUCCAACUCUAUAUGAGAACCUAAAGCCUCCAUUCCAAAGGCAUGAAAAUGAAAGCGUUACCUGGAUAUCAUCUGAGGACACUAAAAGAACAGAACUUUCAGCCCAUUUCACUGCAGGUCUUCAGUCUUUCAGAAGUGAAAGUGAACUUCUGCUGAGACUUCACUGCUGAUUGCAAGGCUUCCUAAGAAGGUACCCAUCAGUGACAGAACAAAGUGUCUCCCAAAUAAGUCAGCAUCUAUUAAUCAAUAUAAUUUAUUAAUCAGUGUAUUUUAUUAAUCAGCAACUUAGCCAUGCUGGCUGGAGCAGCUGAUGCUCCGCAGGCAGGAUCAGUCCUUGUAACACUUUUUCUUGUAUGGCUGUAAUACUAACAGAUAAAAUAUCUUGAAAUCAUUAAGAAUGGUAUUCACAUUUAUAAAGAUGAAUACUUGACAACAACUUUACCAUCCUUAAGUGACUAGCGGCUAUAAUUCUGAGGUCAUUGCUGUUGCAACAUUAAAGAGCUAUGAAGCCUCUUCUAAGAAGGAAGACAUUGCAGUGUACUACUCAAAUAGCUUUGAUUCAAAUGGUUUGUUUCAAGAGAGCACAAGUAGCAUAGCAGGUGAAUUGUGAUGCAAAAUCAUCCUCAA
rnacentral:lncRNA from 1 species